AGUUGGUGGGGUGACUUGUCUGGUUAAUUCCGAUAACGAACGAGAUCCGAGCAGUUUUGUUGCUUGAAAUUAUGUGAUAUAGUUUUUAGUUCCUAAAUGGACCAUCAGAAUAAUCUGAAGGAAGUGACGGGCUAAAUCAGG
rnacentral:rRNA from 1 species